rnacentral:rRNA from 1 species
AAUUUUGGGCAAUGGGCGCAAUCCUGAUCUAGCCAUGCCGCGUGAGGUAAGAAGGCCUCCGGGUUGCAAAACCCUUUCUGACGGCAAAAAAUCGCGCAGGCUAAUACCCUGCGCGUAUGACGGUACCGUCAUUAGAAGCACCGGCUACCUACGUGCCACCCGCCGCGGUAAUACGUAGGGUGGGCACGUUAAUCGGAAUUAAUGGGCGUAAAGCGUGCGCAGGCGGUUGAUUAAGACAGGCGUGAAAUCCCCGGGCUUAACCUGGGACCUGCGCUUGUGACUGGUCAGCUAGAGUACGGCAGAGGGGGGUGGAAUUCCACGUGUAGCAGUGAAAUGCGUAGAGAUGUGGAGGAACACCGAUGGCGAAGGCAGCCCCCUGGGCCGAUACUGACGCUCAUGCACGAAAGCGUGGGUAGCAAACAGG